GGAUUAGAUACCCUGGUAGUCCUGGCCGUAAACGAUGAGCACUAGGUAGGGGGAGUUCCUAUGGCUUUCCCUGCCGUAGCUAAUGUAUUAAGUGCUCCGCCUGGGGAGUAUGCUCGCAAGGGUAAAACUCAAAGGAAUUGACGGGGGCUCACACAAGCGGUGGAGCAUGUGGUUUAAUUCGAUGCAACGCGAAGAACCUUACCCAGGCUUGACAUGUACGGAUUAGCUCUGUGAAAGCAGAGUGACGCCUUCGGGUGGAACGUACACAGGUGUUGCAUGGCUGUCGUCAGCUCGUGCUG
rnacentral:rRNA from 1 species